UACGUAGGGUGCAAGCGUUAAUCGGAAUUACUGGGCGUAAAGCGUGCGCAGGCGGUUAUGUAAGACAGAUGUGAAAUGCCCGGGCUUAACCUGGGAACUGCAUUUGUGACUGCAUGGCUAGAGUGUGUCAGAGGGGGGUAGAAUUCCACGUGUAGCAGUGAAAUGCGUAGAUAUGUGGAGGAAUACCGAUGGCGAAGGCAGCCCCCCUGGGAUAACACUGACGCUCA
rnacentral:rRNA from 1 species